rnacentral:rRNA from 1 species
GUGGGGAAUUUUGGACAAUGGGCGCAAGCCUGAUCCAGCAAUGCCGCGUGCAGGAAGAAGGCCUUCGGGUUGUAAACUGCUUUUGUACGGAACGAAAAGACUCCUUCUAAUAAAGGGGGUCCAUGACGGUACCGUAAGAAUAAGCACCGGCUAACUACGUGCCAGCAGCCGCGGUAAUACGUAGGGUGCAAGCGUUAAUCGGAAUUACUGGGCGUAAAGCGUGCGCAGGCGGUUAUAUAAGACAGAUGUGAAAUCCCCGGGCUCAACCUGGGAACUGCAUUUGUGACUGUAUAGCUAGAGUACGGUAGAGGGGGAUGGAAUUCCGCGUGUAGCAGUGAAAUGCGUAGAUAUGCGGAGGAACACCGAUGGCGAAGGCAAUCCCCUGGACCUGUACUGACGCUCAUGCACGAAAGCGUGGGGAGCAAACAGGAUUAGAAACCCUUGUAGUCC